rnacentral:rRNA from 1 species
CAUGUAGGCGGUCUGUCAAGUCUGAUGUGAAAGCCCGGGGCUCAACCCCAGAAGUGCAUUGGAAACUGGCAGACUUGAGUACGGGAGAGGAAAGUGGAAUUUCGAGUGUAGGGGUGAAAUCCGUAGAUAUUCGAAGGAACACCAGUGGCGAAGGCGGCUUUCUGGACCGAUACUGACGCUGAGAUGCGAAAGCGUGGGGAGCAAACAGGAUUAGAUACCCUGGUAGUCC